AACGAACGCUGGCGGCAGGCCUAACACAUGCAAGUCGAGCGAACCCUUCGGGGUUAGCGGCGGACGGGUUAGUAACGCGUGGGAAUAUACCCUUUGGUACGGAAUAGCCUCGGGAAACUGAGAGUAAUACCGUAUGUGCCCUUCGGGGAAAGGAUUAUCGCCAAGGAUUAGCCCGCGUUGGAUUAGAUAGUUGGUGGGGUAAGUGGCCUACCAAGUCUACGAUCCAUAGCUGGUUUGAGAGGAUGAUCAGCAACACUGGGACUGAGACACGGCCCAGACUCCUACGGGAGGCAGCAGUGGGGAAGUCUUAGACAAUGGGCGCAAGCCUGAUCUAGCCAUGCCGCGUGGACGAUGAAGGCCUUAGGGUUGUAAAGUCCUUUCAGAUGGGAAGAUAAUGACGGUACCAUCAGAAGAAGCCCCGGCUAACU
rnacentral:rRNA from 1 species